UACAGAGGUCCCAAGCGUUGUUCGGAUUCAUUGGGCGUAAAGGGUGCGUAGGCGGCGCGGUAAGUCGGGUGUGAAAUCUCGGGGCUUAACUCCGAAACUGCAUUCGAUACUGCCGUGCUUGAGGACUGGAGAGGAGACUGGAAUUACGGUGUAGCGGUGAAAUGCGUAGAUAUCGUAAGGAAGACCAGUGGCGAAGGCGGGUCUCUGGACAGUUCCUCGAGCGCUGAGGCACGAAGGCCAGGGAGCAAACGGG
rnacentral:rRNA from 1 species